UACGUAGGGUGCGAGCGUUAAUCGGAAUUACUGGGCGUAAAGCGUGCGCAGGCGGUUCGCCAAGUCAGGUGUGAAAUCCCCGGGCUUAACCUGGGAAUUGCGCUUGAAACUAGCGGGCUUGAGUGUGGCAGAGGGGGGUGGAAUUCCACGUGUAGAGGUGAAAUUCGUAGAUAUUGGGAAGAACACCGGUGGCGAAGGCGGCGACCUGGUCCAUUACUGACGCUGAGGCGCGACAGCGUGGGGAGCAAACAGG
rnacentral:rRNA from 1 species